rnacentral:rRNA from 1 species
CCUACGGGAGGCUGCAGUGGGGGAUAUUGGACAAUGGGGGGAACCCUGAUCCAGCGACGCCGCGUGAGUGAAGAAGUAUUUCGGUAUGUAAAGCUCUGUCAGCAGGGAAGAAAGAAAUGACGGUACCUGACCAAGAAGCCCCGGCUAACUACGUGCCAGCAGCCGCGGUAAUACGUAGGGGGCAAGCGUUAUCCGGAAUUACUGGGUGUAAAGGGAGCGUAGACGGUUAAGUAAGUCUGGAGUGAAAGGCCGGGGCCCAACCCCGGGACUGCUCUGGAAACUAUUGGACUUGAGUGCAGGGGAGGUAAGCGGAAUUCCUAGUGUAGCGGUGAAAUGCGUAGAUAUUAGGAGGAACACCAGUGGCGAAGGCGGCUUACUGGACUGUGACUGACGUUGAGGCUCGAAAGCGUGGGGAGCAAACAGGAUUAGAUACCCGAGUAGUC